CACAUUGUGGCUCAUUUGGUUAAAAUGCCUGCCUAGUAAACAGGAAAUCCUGGGUUUGCACCCUAGCGGUGCCU